rnacentral:rRNA from 1 species
CUAUGCGCCUUGCCAGCCCGCUCAGGUGUGCCAGCCGCCGCGGUAAUACGGAGGAUGCGAGCGUUAUCCGGAUUUAUUGGGUUUAAAGGGUGCGUAGGCGGAGUGUCAAGUCAGCGGUAAAAUUUCGGGGCUCAACCCCGUCGUGCCGUUGAAACUGACACCCUUGAGUGAGUGAGAAGUAAGCGGAAUGCGUGGUGUAGCGGUGAAAUGCAUAGAUAUCACGCAGAACGCCGAUUGCGAAGGCAGCUUACCGGCGCUCAACUGACGCUGAAGCACGAAAGCGUGGGUAUCGAGCAGG